rnacentral:rRNA from 1 species
AGUCGAACGCGAAAGGCUCCUUCGGGGGCCGAGUAGAGUGGCGCACGGGUGAGUAACACGUAGGUAAUUUGCCUUCGGGUGGGGAAUAACAGCCGGAAACGGCUGCUAAUACCGCAUAAUGCAGCGGCUCGACAUCGAGACAGUUGUUAAAGCGGGGGAUUCGCAAGAACCUCGCGCCUGAAGAGAAGCCUGCGGCAGAUUAGCUAGUUGGUAAGGUAAUGGCUUACCAAGGCGACGAUCUGUAACCGGCCUGAGAGGGCGGUCGGUCACACUGACACUGACAUACGGGUCAGACUCCUACGGGAGGCAGCAGUCGGGAAUUUUGGGCAAUGGGCGAAAGCCUGACCCAGCAACGCCGCGUGAAGGAUGAAAUUUUUCGGAAUGUAAACUUCGCAAGAACGGGAAGAAUAAGUGGGGGACAAUACCCCCCAUGAUGACGGUACCGUUUGUAAGCUCCGGCUAACUCCGUGCCAGCAGCCGCGGUAAUACGGGGGGAGCAAGCGUUGUUCGGAUUUACUGGGCGUAAAGGGCGCGUAGGCGGCGUGACAAGUCACUUGUGAAAUCUCCGGGCUUAACUCGGAACGGUCAAGUGAUACUGUCGUGCUAGAGUACAGAAGGGGCAACUGGAAUUCUCGGUGUAGCGGUGAAAUGCGUAAAUAUCGAGAGGAAC